AAAAAGGAAAAGAGAUAUUUCAAGAAUCAAGUAACGAAAAUUUUUUCUCUUAAAAUAAAUUGAAUCAAUUUAGAGUAGUAAAUUAUGUCACAAUUAUUGUAAAUAACUAAGUAAGAAUAUUAUUUCAUGCUAAAUAAGGUAUGUGAAUCAGUAAAUAAAUUCGUAAAGGUGAGAUGAGGAUGCAAAUCAAGAUCAAAGUUAACAUGAAUCAAUCAAAAAAAUUAACUAAUCAAGGAGACGGCCGAAAAAGAGGUGAAAAUUAUGAAGAUUCUUCUCACCCAAUCUAAUUUUUAUCAGCAUGUCAAUUACCAAACAAACAACAUAAAACAUGUUCAAAUUUCCGUUCAUAAAUAAAGGGCCGAACAAAUUCAAAUCAUUAGACAAAUAUCAAAAGUAGCAAAGACUUUUAAGGAAACAAAUUCGGACAAAUUCAAAUCAGUAGACAAAUAUCAAAAGUAGCAAAGACUUUUAAGGAAAUAAAUUCUAACUCUGAAUCCAAUAACAAAAUCUUGACCUUAUCGAUGCCAAAGUAAUCAACUUAUCAGGCAAAUAAGAUAGGUUUAGCACUCAUACUAAACAAAAUUCAACCACAAAUUAGGAUUAGCCAAUGUUUACAAAAAUUAAAGCUUUUCAUCUAUAAAAGUCUAAGGAGGAAAAUAAACAUAGAAUUAAAAGAAUCAAGUCAAAAUCAUAGCGUUGUUUUCAUGAAUUUCAAAUUUAAAAAUCAAGCAAUGCAAAUAAAAAAUGAUAUUUAAUUCGUACGAAAAAUUAAACCCGAAAAAUUCUUAACUCUCUUCAAAUUUGAACUUGAAGGGCCAAUUUAUGAACUUCUCCCUAAAAUAGUGAUCCACCUGUUGGACAAUAAUCUCUCUAGUGAUGGCUCGCAGGUAACUCAUCGGUUAUCAACCUCGAUGAUGCAGCAACGAAAAACUGUUGAGAAGGUGGUGGUUUUUGGUUUUGUGGUGACCUGUUGAUGUUUCACCAAAAUGAGGUGGUCGGUGGUGGUGUGGAUAGUAAGGAGCAAGAGAAGGGUGGGGGCUGGAGUGAUGGGUUUCAUCAGUAGGGAAACGGCAGGAAUGGAGAAGUGGUUAGUAGUGGUCGACACUUGAUAUGGAGUGACAGAGAUGGAGGAAAAGGGUGGAUGAUGCGCCUGAAAUUUGUCGAUGAUUCAACCAAUAGUGGAAGGAGAGAGAGGAAGAGAGAGAAAGACUUAAUAGAGGGUUG
rnacentral:lncRNA from 1 species